UAUGAAACUAAACAAGGGCUCUCAAAUUGAUGUUUAAUCCAAAGUAUUUAGUUUAUUAUAAUUGAAUAUGAAACAUAAUUAAAAUAUAGCAAAGAUGGUAACAACAUCAAUUGAUUUCUUGUUGGUAUUGGGUCUGCUUCUCCUUUUACGGUUCUGGGUUUUAUGUGUUUUGAUUUGUGUUUAGAUCUACUAUGGUUUCUCCAAAUUCCAAUUUCACCAUUUCAAGGUAAGCUCUAACCCUAAUUUUUUAUUCUUAAUAAAAUCAUAAUUGUGGCCAUUGUGUUGUUCGAGUAUGGUGGGCUAAUUUUGGGUGGUUUUCGAGUGGGUUUGAGGGGCUAAUUUUGGGUAGGUUUCGAGUGGAUAUGGGGGGAGGGGGGGGCUAAUUUCAGGUUUGUUUCGAGUGGGUGUGGGGGUUGAAUUAUUGCGGUGGUGGAAUUUCAUGCAUGUGUUAUUGGAUUGAUUUUUAAUGGAUUUACUUGUGAAUUUGUUCUAUGUUUGAGUGAUUUUUGCGAAUUGAGGUUAAUUGGAAGAAAUUAAGGGUUUCCUGAUUUCUCGAGGCUGUUUGUGGAAUUUUGGGGGAAUUAGAGAUGGAUAGGGUUGCGGUGGUGGUUUCGUGGGUGAUGUGUUUCUUGGAUUAUUGUAUGUUCUUGCUGCGGUAUGGUGUUACGGUGUUUUUUUGCUGUAAUUUUUUGUUGCUGUGUUUGGUGCUGUGUCUUCUGGUGCCUCUGAUGUGUGCUCGGUGAUGCUGCUGCGUGUUGCUUGUUUUGCUGCGUUUUUGUUGCAGCAUCGUUUCUUCUUUCUGUGGUGUAUCUGUGGCCCGCUACUUGUGUAUGUGUGGGCGGUAAAAUUGCUAUUCGAUACUCCGCUUUCUUCUGUUAUUUAUUUCAGAGUUGAGGAUGGGUGAUGAAUGUAUUAUAUUUUAUGUAAGGCUAGAUUGUUUCUUGUCUUUGAAUGUGGCUUAUGCGUUGUUAUGCAUGGUCCAAGUUGGAAACUUAAUGACUUGGUGAUUUCUGUGUUAUGCAUUGUUAUGCAUGGUCCAAGUCCCUUCUGUCAUAGAUUCAUAGGUGGCAUUGCCUUAUUAUUUUGAUGCUGCCUUGUGCUAUUUUGUGUUGAAAACAAGUCAUUAAUGUUCAUACUGUUACUUGUAUUUUUAUUAAAAAGGUCUAACAUAGUUAACACAAGUCAUUUCUUUGGUUGCAGCUGUGUGAUGGGUCCAUUGUCGCAUUCAAAGUUCUUCACAAUGUGAAUUGCAAUCAUGGAUUUAUAUACGUGACCUCAUAGGGUUUGCUUAAAAUUUGCCAGCUGCCAUCUGGACUAAGUUACGACAAUUACUGGCCCAUGCAGAAAAUUCCAUUGAAGGGCACUCCCCAUCAAGUCACCUACUUUGCUGAUAAGAAUUUAUACCCACUUAUUGUUUCGUUUCCUGUGAGUUCCUGUAACCUUUGUUCUUUCAUGAGUAUUAAAGCUUUUGCUUGUUAGAAAUUUGUUGGUUGAAGAGUCGGUAGCUUAAAUGUUCCAUAUUGUAACUUUGUUGAUUAAGCAUCAAUUUAUUGAUAAUCCUUGGUUCAUUCCCCUCAUUUGUGUAUGUUGCACUUAUUUUUGCUUUCAGUAUUGGCGAGUCUGUUAGUCAGUGCCUUGCAUAGCACAUGCUUUAAUCCAGCAGAUAAACCAUAAAUCGAUAACUUCUAGCUGUAAGUGAGCGGGAACAUCUUGAUAGGUUAAAUCAAAACAGUCCCUUCUGUCAUAGAUUCAUAUAUAGGUGGCAUUGCCUUAGUAUUUUGAUGCUGCCUUGUGCUAUUUUGUGUUGAAAACAAGUCUGGCAUUGUACUAAUAUGCUUCUUUCCUUCCUAUUUUCUACUGCUUUCUUCUCAAUGUACUUUGAUAGGUGAAUUAUAAUCUGAAAGGUGCUUCUAAUAUAUGUCAUGCAACAUGAUUCUAUGCUGCAAAAUUCGUUUUACUGUCACUGUCUAUGAUUCUAAUACAUCUAUGUGGAGAAGCUCAAGUACUGUGACUGUCUGGGUAAUGACAAGGUAAUUCGUUUUUCUGCUUGAUUUUAUGUUCAGUGAUUGAUAAUUGUAAUAGUGAUAGAUUAUAAAAUGGUGAGCAUACCAUGGCAUUAUCACCUUAUCAAGUUGUCUGUUCCGAAGACAUCUCCUUCAAAUUUGGUAUUCAUAGUGUCUGAACUUGUUGCAUCUGUGUCUUUCUAGAGGAAGUGGUAAUAGUGAUAGAUUAUAAAUUGGUGCAGCCUAAAUGGUAUGACAGGCUUUUGGUUCUCGCUGUGUAGGGAGUUUUCUUCAACUGUUAUGUUGUACUCUAUUUGCUUUCCCCUAAGCUGGCUCACAGAGUGGUUGGUUACUUGGAAGAAGAGGCAAUACAUUCAUACACAGAGUAUCUGAAGGACAUAGACAGUGGUGCGAUUGAAAAUGUGCACGCUCCUGCUACUGCCAUUGACUACUGGAGGCUGCCAAAGAAUGCUAUUUUGAAGGAUGUUAUAACUGUAAUCCGUGCUGACGAAGCUCACCAUCGUGAUGUCAACCAUUUUGCUUCUUUGAGUACCGAAAUUAUUACUUGUUUUACUGAUCCAUGGGCCUGCUAAUGAACUGUCUUCCUGUCUUUUAUCAGAUAAUUUUGCAUUUAGACAUCUGCCUUCUGUCACCUGAUCAGCUAUGGCAGUAUUCUGUUAUCAACUUACCAUAUAACUCUUUAAUUGGUGUUGAACUGAUGAAGUAUAUGUUUUCGCCAUGCAGGAUGUGCACUUUCAGGGCAGGCAACUGAAGAAGCACCGACUCCUGUUGGUUAUCAUUAGAGCAAUACAUAAGUCUGCAUAUUGCCACGUAUAUGAGCUCCUAAAGGAUACAGGCGCGUAAAUCCUUGCAAAGCUUCUUAAAUACAGAGUGAUUGCUUAUUAGAAAUCAUAAUUAGAUUAACACCCUUUACAAGUCUCAUUUUUAUAUUUUUUGGUCCGGUUGAUCUGUUUAGUUGUGUUUGUGCGAUGCAUUUGUUACUCCUGUGGGUUUGUAAUAAGUAUAGGCGUGCGCAAUUCUUGAGUUUAUAUACAUACAUAUGAAAAGAGGAUCAAAA